GGGGAGCGUUCUGUAAGCCUGCGAAGGUGGCCUGUGAGGGUUGCUGGAGGUAUCAGAAGUGCGAAUGCUGACAUAAGUAACGAUAAAGCGGGUGAAAAGCCCGCUCGCCGGAAGACCAAGGGUUCCUGUCCAACGUUAAUCGGGGCAGGGUGAGUCGACCCCUAAGGCGAGGCCGAAAGGCGUAGUCGAUGGGAAACGGGUUAAUAUUCCCGUACUUGGUGUUACUGCGAAGGGGGGACGGAGAAGGCUAUGUUGGCCGGGCGACGGUUGUCCCGGUUUAAGCGUGUAGGUGUGUGUUCCAGGUAAAUCCGGUUCACUUUAACACUGAGGCGUGACGACGAGGCACUACGGUGCUGAAGCAACAAAUGCCCUGCUUCCAGGAAAAGCCUCUAAGCAUCAGGUAACAUCAAAUCGUACCCCAAACCGACACAGGUGGUCAGGUAGAGAAUACCAAGGCGCUUGAGAGAACUCGGGUGAAGGAACUAGGCAAAAUGGUGCCGUAACUUCGGGAGAAGGCACGCUGACACGUAGGUGAAGUGAUUUACUCAUGGAGCUGAAGUCAGUCGAAGAUACCAGCUGGCUGCAACUGUUUAUUAAAAACACAGCACUGUGCAAACACGAAAGUGGACGUAUACGGUGUGACGCCUGCCCGGUGCCGGAAGGUUAAUUGAUGGGGUCAGCGCAAGCGAAGCUCCUGAUCGAAGCCCCGGUAAACGGCGGCCGUAACUAUAACGGUCCUAAGGUAGCGAAAUUCCUUGUCGGGUAAGUUCCGACCUGCACGAAUGGCGUAAUGAUGGCCAGGCUGUCUCCACCCGAGACUCAGUGAAAUUGAACUCGCUGUGAAGAUGCAGUGUACCCGCGGCAAGACGGAAAGACCCCGUGAACCUUUACUAUAGCUUGACACUGAACAUUGAGCCUUGAUGUGUAGGAUAGGUGGGAGGCUUUGAAGUGUGGACGCCAGUCUGCAUGGAGCCGACCUUGAAAUACCACCCUUUAAUGUUUGAUGUUCUAACGUGGACCCGUUACCCGGGUUGCGGACAGUGUCUGGUGGGUAGUUUGACUGGGGCGGUCUCCUCCUAAAGAGUAACGGAGGAGCACGAAGGUUGGCUAAUCCUGGUCGGACAUCAGGAGGUUAGUGCAAUGGCAUAAGCCAGCUUGACUGCGAGCGUGACGGCGCGAGCAGGUGCGAAAGCAGGUCAUAGUGAUCCGGUGGUUCUGAAUGGAAGGGCCAUCGCUCAACGGAUAAAAGGUACUCCGGGGAUAACAGGCUGAUACCGCCCAAGAGUUCAUAUCGACGGCGGUGUUUGGCACCUCGAUGUCGGCUCAUCACAUCCUGGGGCUGAAGUAGGUCCCAAGGGUAUGGCUGUUCGCCAUUUAAAGUGGUACGCGAGCUGGGUUUAGAACGUCGUGAGACAGUUCGGUCCCUAUCUGCCGUGGGCGCUGGAGAACUGAGGGGGGCUGCUCCUAGUACGAGAGGACCGGAGUGGACGCAUCACUGGUGUUCGGGUUGUCAUGCCAAUGGCACUGCCCGGUAGCUAAAUGCGGAAGAGAUAAGUGCUGAAAGCAUCUAAGCACGAAACUUGCCCCGA
rnacentral:rRNA from 1 species